rnacentral:rRNA from 1 species
AAUUUAAACAUGGUUUUUAAAGAAAAAGUUUUUAAUAGUCUUUAUAUAUUAAAUUUAUAAAAUAUAAAAAAAAUAUAGAAGAAAGUUUUUUUUUAUUUUCAUUAAUAUGAAAUAAGUUAUUAAUUUUUAAACUUGGCGAUGCUUGUGCCAGCCGCCGCGGUUAUACAAGCAAGUUAAUUUUUCUUUUUCUAUUAAGAAAAAGAAAAUUAAUUUAGUAAUAAUUUUUAUAGGUGAAAUUAAAAAAUUUAAAGUUUUUGU